GCUGGCGUGGUGGAAUUGGCAGACACGCUAUCUUGAGGGGGUAGUGGGCAUUCGCCCGUGCGGGUUCGAGUCCCGCCGCCAGCACAA
rnacentral:tRNA from 1 species